rnacentral:rRNA from 1 species
GACGAACGCUGGCGGCGUGCUUAACACAUGCAAGUCGAACGGAAAGGCCCUGCUUUUGUGGGAUGCUCGAGUGGCGAACGGGUGAGUAACACGUGAGUAACCUGCCCUUGACUUUGGGAUAACUUCAGGAAACUGGGGCUAAUACCGGAUAGGAGCUCCUGCUGCAUGGUGGGGGUUGGAAAGUUUCGGCGGUUGGGGAUGGACUCGCGGCUUAUCAGCUUGUUGGUGGGGUAGUGGCUUACCAAGGCUUUGACGGGUAGCCGGCCUGAGAGGGUGACCGGCCACAUUGGGACUGAGAUACGGCCCAGACUCCUACGGGAGGCGGCAGUGGGGAAUAUUGCACAAUGGGCGGAAGCCUGAUGCAGCAACGCCGCGUGCGGGAUGACGGCCUUCGGGUUGUAAACCGCUUUCGCCUGUGACGAAGCGUGAGUGACGGUAAUGGGUAAAGAAGCACCGGCUAACUACGUG